rnacentral:sRNA from 1 species
GCCAGGUACAGCGGUGCGUGCCUGUAAUCCCAGCAAUUCUGGAGGCUGAGGCAGGAGGAUCACAAGUUCAGAGCCAGCCUCAGCAACUUAGCAAGUUCCUAAACAACUUAGUGAGACCCUGUCUCUA